UACGUAGGUGGCAAGCGUUGUCCGGAUUUACUGGGCGUAAAGAGCGCGCAGGCGGUCGUUCAAGUCGCGUGUGAAAGCCCCCGGCUCAACUGGGGAGGGUCACGCGAUACUGAUCGACUCGAAGGCAGGAGAGGGUAGUGGAAUUCCCGGUGUAGUGGUGAAAUGCGUAGAUAUCGGGAGGAACACCAGUGGCGAAGGCGACUCACUAGACACGUAUUGACGCUGAGGUGCGAAAGCGUGGGGAGCAAACAGG
rnacentral:rRNA from 1 species